UUGGAGUGACAGAAAAUGUUGAAGACUGUGGUUAGUUGGCGAAACAAUGGAGCAGGUUUGGGGUCCCACUGAAGAAGGCAAACGUGAGGACAGGGACAUUUCAGUUCCCUGUGAGCAGAGCAGGUGCCUAUCCCAGAGGCUCGGGAGAGGUCAGUGCCCAGGUGUGUGCAGAAAUUCUAACCUCUGUAAGUGAAUCAGUCUGCGACUCCCACUUCUGUACCUGGGACAACCCAGCUGCAAGAUCUGUUGGAACCUUUUGAAUCACGAGAUGCGGUAUGUGCCACCAGCCCAUCAGAACUGGACCCUGGCCUUCUGGCUCUUAGUGUCUUCCCCAGACUCGGCGUUCCCUGCUCCAUCCUCCUGGCUGGCAGAUCUCUCUGGCCCUGCCCCCCACCAUGUAGUUAAAUUACUUUCUUUUCCAAAUUUGCACUAUGUCUCUCCUCUAUGCCAAGAUCUGUGAAUAAAUGGCAGACCAGAGA